UAAAACCAUCAGUUUCCAUCCUAACAAAAGUCAAUUGUUGAUAUAUUUUUAUGCCCAUUUACCUGAUUUAAAACGGCUUAAAAUAUUCUUGACCAACCAGUGUUUGUUAAAUGGAAUAAUAUUUUUAAAAUUUUGGAAUUGCUACUCUCAUCUGAACAUCUAUCAACACCAAAAACCAGAGAUCGCAAAGAUUGGGCAAUAUACGUUAAUACCCAUAAUUUUCAAGUAUAUCUAUUUUUUGCAGAGAAAACUGGCAAAAGAGAAGAAGGGGUAAUUAGGGAUCUUCCACGUGCAUCCCGAUUUUAGACGCCAGUUUCGCUUAAGCGUCGGGAGCGUCAACGCGUCGAAAUCCGCUUUAUCUCUCCGACCGACGACAUUCGACGAACGACCAUUUUUUUUGCUUCUAUUUGUAAAAGUGUGCCUGUCUAAUUUCAUUGGUUUUACUCGCCUUGUAUAUUAGUGUCAUUUUUCUCGUGUCUUAGACAAUGUUAGUCGCAUAGUUAAAUAUUUUAUAAAUAAACGUGUAAAUUCAAAUAAACUGUAAUAAUCAACGAGAAAGUGUUAAAUAAAAAUCUGUAAAAUGGUGAACUAUGUACUUUCUUUCUGCAAAAUUACCGGAGCCAGCAAGAUAUUUACGAGGAAUUUUUAUCUGCCGCUUUUGAAGCCGCUGACUCCCAAAGAUGCCUUACGCACACUCAGGAUUACAGGUAAAUGGCUACUUGGAGCUAAAUAUCAGCACUAUAUUCCGGCGCUUAAAAAUCACAGAAAUAAGCGCUCAAAGAAAUCAAAGAACUAUGGCAGCAAAGAACAUAAGAAAAUGGAUGACUAUACAUACAUGACCCCAACUUUUGAUCCGGAAAACGAAAAUCAAAAAAGGCUGCAAAAAAUUUUGGACAGCAAGCAAGGGGAAGGUAUGUACGUAUAUACCGUGGAAGACAAAAAAUACAAUAUAGUCGUCCAAGCAGCUUUUGAAUUGGCCGUCCGCGAUGGCGACAUUAUCGAUGUGUUGGUGUCUCAGAAAAAUGAUAAAAUUCUCGUAAAAACCAAGGAUUUCAAAAAAGUGCCAAUUGAAAUUCAAUAUUACGAGCAAAAUGGCGAGACUCUUUAUUGCGGCGAAGGUGCAACUUCAGAAGCAGAGGAAAAGUUUCACCAUCACGGGAAAUACACCAUGAGCUUAGCCAAAUUAUUCGAAGAUAAGGAAAUGCAAGAAGAGAAGUGGGAAGAAGAGCUGAAAAAGAUCAUGAAGAGACGCAAGAAACACAAAUGGGAAGGCACCAAAGCUUUCAAAGAAAUGAUGAAGCAAAUAAUGCGCAAGUUUGACUGGAAGAAGUUUGAAGAAGACGCCAAAAAAGUUAUUGAUGAUAUAGAAGAACCGGUUACAGAAAAUCCGAUUCCGAUGGAAAUUGCUAACUUAGAAGCCACGAAGAACGUCAACGAGACGCUUGCCCAACGAGAAGACUUGCUCAGUCAGCUCCCAACGCUUAAAGAUAUACCCGAUAUUAUUAAAAGUCUUGGAACGGCGACAUUGACCGAAAUCGAAACUGAAGAAAACGAAUCGACUGAAAAGAGAACUGUUUCAGGCGCUAUGGUGGUAUUGCCUUCAGGAAAGCAGUGCUUUGUAAGCGGCCAAAUGGUUCAUACUGAAGAAGGGGAUGUUUUUGUGCCUGGACAAACCGUGCAAAAUGAAUUCGGCGACGAAUACGCCCCUGGAAUCACCAUUAAUAUCGACAAUAAACCCACUCUGGUCAACGGAUUAAUAAUGGGCGACGAGGAAAAAGAUCCUCUAUUUUUACCAUCCCAAUCAACGAUAACAUCAGGUGGCCAGUUAACAUUUGCCACUGACUCGGAGGAACGCCCACCCCCAGAACCCGAAGAGCAACGGCAAAAAAGGCGAAGAAAGCUUUUAAGAAUCAUUAGUGUGGUACCGGAAGAAGAGAAUAAUGAAGAUGAAUGUUUGAAAGGAGUCAUCGAAGACAUCAUGAAAGAAAGUGGGCUGCACAAUUUUGAAAACAUCGAAAUAAUCGUGGCAAAUGCUGAUAAUCAAAAUCCUUUACUGGAUGGUGAAGAUUCCGAUAUUUCCACUGACGAAACAUCUACAUCCGAUGAACUCAACAACUCAGAGCUGGAGGACUUGGAUAUAGAAGCCAUUCGAUUAAAGCACGAACAGCAACGCCAAGAACUGGAGAAACUGAAGUUAAUUUUGCAAGACGAUGGAAUGAAUGACCUAGUAAACUCUUUAGAGGAGAAAAAGCGGCUGCUGAAACUCAAGCUAGACGAGCUUAGAAAGCUCAGCAUGAUGUCCGAAAAUAAUCUGGUAUCGUACGUUAACGAUAGCGAUGCAUGCGAAGCGGCAGCGAAAAUAACAGAUGAAAAAGAAAGUAUUAAUAGACUAGCAGAAAUUCUUAUAGCCAUUACUAGGAGGUCAGCGGCAUUUAGAGACAAAAAUAGCAUAAGACUCGAGAAUAUUAAUUUGGAUGUUAACAUUAAACCGACAGACACUGAUUUGAAAUUCAACAAAUCCUCUACGAAGCUUAAAAUUCUGUUUAAAACGGCCCUAGUGGCGGCAUGUGAUGUAUACAAAAACAGACCCAGAGAUCAGAUUUUAGCUUUGCACUCAGUAGUGGAAAUAAUCGAGGACAGUCUUAAAAAAGACCCCACUUUGCUUACAGAACUUUUUAAGUUAUUAGACACCUCAUUUGAUCGGUUGGAGGUAUGCGAUGCCGUUCUCAAGCAACUAAUUCAAGACAUUUCGCACACUAAAGUGGCAUGUUUGAAAAACCUGAGCACUGAAGACUUAACUUUGCAGGACUGUCUGAAGUAUCUGGAUCGGAUUAUUGAGGAUGGUACAGUAAUGAAUGUUUCAUUCACUAAGCUGGCCAAGCUCUGCCCGGAAAUAGUUAAAGAUUUAAGCGAAAACGUGAAAUUAAGAAUGAAGAAUGCAACCUCGGAAGAAAUAGCACUAGAGGCGCUUCAAGACAGCAUUGUGAUCACGGUUAGAGCUUUAAUGAGCAGUAACUUCGAAGAGUUGUUAGGAAGAAAAGAAAGCACGGUGCUCGAGUUCAUCGAGGAAGCAUUGAGCUUUGCUAAAGCCUUGGAGCAGGAUGAUGUUGUGGAGAAUCUUUCAAAGCCGAAAACUACGUUGAACAAUUUGGAGGAUUCUUCCAUUGAAAUGCUCAAAAGAAUGACCAUAAUCCGACAACUAGCUGAAAAAGACUACUCUUUGAAAACAGCAAUCAGCAGAAUCAAGAAGAAUCCUGAGUGUGCAAAGUCAGAUCCCCGAAUCAGGCAAUUAAUCCGGGAGAGUGCCAUUGUAAUAUCCGAGAUGUCUCCUUUGCGGAACUCCAGAGACAUACCAUACGACUUGAUGAAAAGACAAAAUCUACUGGCAAUUGAAGACUUUCUAAUGCGCAAAAUGAGGCUGGACGUACCAGUGCUCAUCACAAGAGGCAACCUUCAAGCGGUAGUUCCCAAAGAAUCAGCGCGAGGAGUAUUAGCCGGAAGAGUGCCUUAUAUCCUCAUUGACGAAUCGGGAGUGACAAACUUUAAACCAAUGCACAUGCUUUCGUCGAUAAAUGUCAACAAAAAUCGGGAAAGGAGGAUCGAGGACUAUUUGAGUGGGGUGCGCGAAAGAUCAAAAUCAAUCGACCUUAACAAGGAUGAAGCGAGACACUAUUUGCAGGCCAAAUCGAACGAAGAAGUAAAUAAAAUUGUGAAGUGAAAAACUUAGAAAGGUUAGAGGGUGACGAAAAAUAUUCAACAACAUUCUAUGGAUAAUGUAAAUCUGUGAAUCCUGGCGUCUGAAGUUUCAGCUACAGCCCUGACGUCCCAAGUCACAUUUUCUUUAGUUCAAAUAGUUCAGUUAUUUUAAAUCGGUUGCAUCGAGUGUUUGAUCAUUUGAAUUUGAGAGCAGUUAUGCAUGAAUCUUUAAUACCUGUGGGUCCGCCGAAAAAACGUAAAUCUCCGAGACCUCGACGCAAUCUGCAAAGUGAAGCAGGCCCAAGCACUUCGGGGACAAAUAAUGGAUUAGAAAAUCAUAGUGAAAAUAAUCCUGAUACAGCGGUAGAAAAUAAGCGAAUUCCUAUGUUGAUCAGAGGUGUUGGAGUUCAUCAAGUGAUUCCAAAAGAAGCAACUCGUGAUGUUCUAACAGGCAAAGUGCCAUUUUACUUGGUGGAUGAUAGAGACGGAGUCACCCUUUUUCCAGCCAAGCAUAAUCUUGUGGCUCUCAAAUUAGACCAAGAGCAUGUUGAGAAAUUUGAGGAUUAUUCUUGCAUCGGCGGCCACGAAAGACAACUGAAGGAAAGACCGAAAAGACGAGAAGGAAUGGGAUAUAGAAGGCGGUACAUUUCUCCAGAGCUACUUAACAGAGGCAUCUAUAAUGUUGACAUAGAUAUAAGAAUACGGGCUCUAAUGCUGAGCAUAAACCUUUAAGCAUACAAACCUUAACGGAAGUACAACCAAUGAAUUGCUGGAAACUAUGAGCAUCCUCUACUAAACUCAUUAACUGUUAUCUAUUAACGAAUUAAUCAAAUUUUCAAAUAUAUUUUUGCAAUAAAAACCUAGUGGUAAAGUGUAUGAA